rnacentral:rRNA from 1 species
GCGUGAGAAUUUGCCUUUAGGAGGGGGAUAACAAUCGGAAACGAAUGCUAAUACCCCAUAUGCUUUUGAGUGAAACGGAUUUAUCCGCCUAAAGAGAAGCUCGCGGCUGAUUAGCUUGUUGGUAAGGUAAGAGCUUACCAAGGCGACGAUCAGUAUCUGGUUUGAGAGGACGAUCAGACACACUGGAACUGAGACACGGUCCAGACUCCUACGGGAGGCAGCAGUGGGGAAUUUUCCGCAAUGGGCGAAAGCCUGACGGAGCAAUACCGCGUGAGGGAAGACUGCCUAUGGGUUGUAAACCUCUUUUUUCAGGGAGGAAUAAAAUGACGUGUACCUGAAGAAUAAGCAUCGGCUAACUCCGUGCCAGCAGCCGCGGUAAGACGGAGGAUGCAAGUGUUAUCCGGAAUCACUGGGCGUAAAGCGUCUGUAGGUGGUUUAAUAAGUCAACUGUUAAAUCUUGAGGCUCAACUUCAAAAUCGCAGUCGAAACUAUUAGACUAGAGUAUAGUAGGG